rnacentral:rRNA from 1 species
UACGAAGGGGGCUAGCGUUGCUCGGAAUCACUGGGCGUAAAGCGCACGUAGGCGGAUUGCUAAGUCGGGGGUGAAAUCCUGGAGCUCAACUCCAGAACUGCCUUUGAUACUGGCGACCUUGAGUCCGGGAGAGGUGAGUGGAACUGCGAGUGUAGAGGUGAAAUUCGUAGAUAUUCGCAAGAACACCAGUGGCGAAGGCGGCUCACUGGCCCGGUACUGACGCUGAGGUGCGAAAGCGUGGGGAGCGAACAGG